rnacentral:lncRNA from 10 species
CCCCAGCCACCCACCCAGCCUCUCCUCACCCGGGUACUUUCCAGAGAGCACCGCCUGCCUCCUUCUCCCCUGACCCCGCCUCACUCAGCUCUGCCUGGCUGUUAACAGCACCAGGGCUUCUCCGCUCUCCCCAGGUAUCUAGCCCCAAAGCUUUUUCAACUCUACUGCUUUCUUAUCUGCCUGCCUGGAACCCCAUCUUCACCUCCUUCAUCUCCCUCUUUCUGGUUUCCCUUCCUGGUGUCCCCGGCCUGCAACAUACUGAGUCCUGCAGCUAUGACCUUCCUCUGGCUCUCAGCUUCUCUCUUUUGAUGCUCAAGAGGUGUAAGAUUGUCACAGCCACAGCAGGGAAGAAAAACAGGCUUCUCUGUGCUCUUAUUGAUGAACUGAGGAGGCCCUUCUCAAGCCUGGCCUCCAGCUCUGGCCUCCAGGCCCUGGGAGGGGCAUUAAACACACGGCCCACCCACCCUGGCUUCAGACUCUCACAGCUUCUGUCGUCACACACUUGCCACUACACCUUCCCCUCUGGCCUCAUAAGGACCUUCAAAGUAAAUCACGGAAGGAAUCCUUAGCCUGUUUUCUUUGGAUGUGGAUAUGGAAAUUCAGCUAGAAGUUGGGGGACCCAGAACUUAGCCUGGGGACUGGUGAUUCUCUCCAGAGCCCUCGGAGCCAGAGCGGCCAGGUGCCAGGUGUGGCUGCUCAACCCCUAGGUUUUCAGUGUCCUUCUUCGGGGCCACUGUCCCUCCAGGCAGUAUGCACAGUGGUUAGGAGCCUCACUAAGAAGAGGGGCUGUGACACCUCUGGAGGUUAAUGGACGUGACAUGCAGAAUGCACCUGGAACACACCUGGCCCUAGAGAGUGCUCCACAGUGGCCUCUGCUCCCUAGCCACCAUUCUCUGUGGCGCUUUAAAAUCCGCCUGCAGGGUGAUCUCAUGUGCUGCCCUCACCGCUGGCCGGUAGGACUUACAGGAAGGAAUCAGGCCGAACCUCUGGAGUGGCACUUUUAUUCUAAGACCACUUCCAGGGAUGAAGGAGGAAAGACGUAGUCAUCUGCUUGCCCCAGCUCACAGCCGGACGCUGCGGCUUUUGGAAAAUAGCCACCAUGAAGCCGGUGGCCCUGGUCCCCCUCUCGAGGUAUCAUAAAGCCAUUCAUAACGGCAUAAACGCCUGACAACACUCCCUGAUGCCAGCCCGGGAGUCUCACUCUGUCAUCCAGACUCUCCACCCAGUGGCGUGAUGAUCAUAGCUCAUUGCAGCCUUGAACUCCUGAGCUCAAGCAAUCCUCCCACCUCAGCCUCCCAAGUAGCUGGGACCACAGGCAUGUCCCACCACACCUGGCUCUUUCCUCCUGGCCUCAAGCAAUCCUCCCACCUCAGCUUCCCAAAGUGCUGGGAUUACAGGUGUGAGCCACCAUGCCCAGCCGGACUCCAGUUAUAAUUCAAGAUUGACAUGGACGGGUAGAGGUCCCAAUCUUGAGGUCCCUACCAUACUGAGGUCCCUAUCAAUCAUAUUGUACUGUUUGGCCAAUAACAGUUAAGCAGGGGCCUGGCAUUGAAGUUCUGCCUCAGCAGUGGUGAGCGCCAAGGCUGCUGAAGAAGAGACUGAGAGAGGACUAAGUGACACCUUGAAUUUAUCCCAAAAGACAGAAGCCGGUCUGGGAAGGCUGGAAAAUGGGGUGCGUUCAAGGGAGCCCCGCUGUCUGGGAUCCUGGAAGGUCACAGGAAGGCUUCAGACCGUGGCAGAUUGUCCAGAGGACAGAGUUAACUGAUACCAGCAGGUCAGGGCAUCCACGUCAAGAACACGAUUUAGGAAUCUGGUGUUUUUCCAAAUACACUGAGAGUCGAAAUUGGAAGUGUGGCCAUCUCUGGGAUAGUAUUCUGAGGUGGGUGCAGGAUUUGCAGGGAGGACCCUCUGGGUGUCCACAUAUGUGACAGUCUUCAAGCUAUACAUUUAAGGUUUGUGUACUCUGUACCCUAUUCCUGUAUGUAAGAUGCAUUUUAAUUGCAACUUAUAAUUAAGUAAAAAUUAAAAGAAAGAAAAAAAUUAAAAGCCAAGAAAGAUAAAUCUACAGUAGUCCCCGCCUAUCUGCAGUUUUGCUUUCCGAGGUUUCAGUUACCCUCGGUCAAUGGGGGUCUGAAAAUAGGUGAGCACAGUACAAUAAGACAUUUAGAGAGAGAGAGAGGGAGAGAGAGGGAGAGAGAGGGAG